rnacentral:rRNA from 1 species
CCUACGGGGGGCUGCAGUGGGGAAUAUUGGACAAUGGGGGCAACCCUGAUCCAGCCAUGCCGCGUGUGUGAAGAAGGCCCUCGGGUUGUAAAGCACUUUCAGUGAGGAAGAACGCCUGGUGGUUAAUACCCAUCAGGAAAGACAUCACUCACAGAAGAAGCACCGGCUAACUCCGUGCCAGCAGCCGCGGUAAUACGGAGGGUGCGAGCGUUAAUCGGAAUUACUGGGCGUAAAGCGCGCGUAGGUGGCUUGAUAAGCCGGUUGUGAAAGCCACGGGCUCAACCUGGGAACGGCAUCCGGAACUGUCAAGCUAGAGUGCAGGAGAGGAGGGUAGAAUUCCCGGUGUAGCGGUGAAAUGCGUAGAGAUCGGGAGGAAUACCAGUGGCGAAGGCGGCCUUCUGGACUGACACUGACACUGAGGUGCGAAAGCGUGGGUAGCAAACAGGAUUAGAUACCCCGGUAGUC